GACGAACGCUGGCGGCGUGCUUAACACAUGCAAGUCGAGCGGUAAGGCCCUUUCGGGGGUACACGAGCGGCGAACGGGUGAGUAACACGUGGGCGACCUGCCCUCAGCUCUGGGAUAAGCCCGGGAAACUGGGUCUAAUACCGGGAUAUGACUCCAUGACGCAUGUUGUGGGGUGGAAAGCCUUGUGCGGCUGAGGAUGGGCCCGCGGCCUAUCAGCUUGUUGGUGGGGUGAUGGCCACCAAGGCGACGACGGGUAGCCGGCCUGAGAGGGCGACCGGCCACACUGGGACUGAGAUACGGCCCAGACUCCUACGGGAGGCAGCAGUGGGGAAUCUUGCGCAAUGGGCGAAAGCCUGACGCAGCGACGCCGCGUGAGGGAUGACGGCCUCGUGU
rnacentral:rRNA from 1 species